rnacentral:lncRNA from 1 species
UGGUUCAAAGUAAAUGGGGAUCGUGUUGUCCAUACGGAUAUCAACUUAGCCACAUCAAGUGGUGUUAUAUGUGCUCAUGAUGGAUCAUGGUUAUUGGGGUUUGCUCGACUUGUCAGAUGUUGCACAGUUGUUGGGACCGACCCGUAUAAUCUCAACAAACAACUUUAAAUCCCGAAAGAACAAAGUACUCAGGCUAAAACCAAAAAUUCCCCGAAACUCAC